UAGUGGCGGACGGGUGAGUAACGCGUGGGAACAUACCCAAAGGUACGGAAUAGCCUCGGGAAACUGAGAGUAAUACCGUAUGUGCCCUUCGGGGGAAAGAUUUAUCGCCUUUGGAUUGGCCCGCGUUGGAUUAGGUAGUUGGUGGGGUAAUGGCCUACCAAGCCGACGAUCCAUAGCUGGUUUGAGAGGAUGAUCAGCCACACUGGGACUGAGACACGGCCCAGACUCCUACGGGAGGCAGCAGUGGGGAAUCUUAGACAAUGGGGGAAACCCUGAUCUAGCCAUGCCGCGUGAUCGAUGAAGGCCUUAGGGUUGUAAAGAUCUUUCAGUUGGGAAGAUAAUGACGGUACCAACAGAAGAAGCCCCGGCUAACUCCGUGCCAGCAGCCGCGGUAAUACGGAGGGGGCUAGCGUUAUUCGGAAUUACUGGGCGUAAAGCGCACGUAGGCGGAUUAGAAAGUCAGAGGUGAAAUCCCAGGGCUCAACCUUGGAACUGCCUUUGAAACUCCUAGUCUUGAGGUCGAGAGAGGUGAGUGGAAUUCCGAGUGUAGAGGUGAAAUUCGUAGAUAUUCGGAGGAACACCAGUGGCGAAGGCGGCUCACUGGCUCGAUACUGACGCUGAGGUGCGAAAGCGUGGGGAGCAAACARGAUUAGAUACCCUGGUAGUCCACGCCGUAAA
rnacentral:rRNA from 1 species